CCGGAUUAAUACCGCAUACGAUCUGAGGAUGAAAGCGGGGGACCGAAAGGCCUCGCGCUCAAGGGGCGGCCGAUGGCAGAUUAGCUAGUUGGUGGGGUAAAGGCCUACCAAGGCGACGAUCUGUAGCUGGUCUGAGAGGACGACCAGCCACACUGGGACUGAGACACGGCCCAGACUCCUACGGGAGGCAGCAGUGGGGAAUUUUGGACAAUGGGGGCAACCCUGAUCCAGCAAUGCCGCGUGUGUGAAGAAGGCCUUCGGGUUGUAAAGCACUUUUGUCCGGAAAGAAAACCUCCGUCCUAAUACGGUGGGGGGAUGACGGUACCGGAAGAAUAAGCACCGGCUAACUACGUGCCAGCAGCCGCGGUAAUACGUAGGGUGCAAGCGUUAAUCGGAAUUACUGGGCGUAAAGCGUGCGCAGGCGGUUCGCUAAGACCGAUGUGAAAUCCCCGGGCUUAACCUGGGAACUGCAUUGGUGACUGGCGGGCUAGAGUAUGGCAGAGGGGGGUAGAAUUCCACGUGUAGCAGUGAAAUGCGUAGAGAUGUGGAGGAAUACCGAUGGCGAAGGCAGCCCCCUGGGCCAAUACUGACGCUCAGC
rnacentral:rRNA from 1 species